rnacentral:lncRNA from 1 species
GACCUUCGUUGAAAUUAAACGGGUACCAUUUCGAUCAGCUAUGGUCAAUGGACAGUAAUUACAACAGCAUUUUGUAUCAUCUUUAUCAAUUUGUGGAAAUUGGAUCAUUGUUGAACAAUCCUUUUCUUUACUAUUGUAUGUGUAAUACCUUGUUUAGGAGGAAUUUUUAGUCAACUUCCAACUGUGGAGCUAAAUUUAUGGAGUCUUGAAGAAAGCAUUGUAAGCAACAAGCAUGUAAGAAAAAACAAGAAUCGAAUGUCUAUAUGUUAUACGUAACUACUUUAUUAAACAAUAAUUUCGAUCUUUACUAUGAUCGUCAAUAUAUUAUAUUACUUGUGUUAUAUGGAAUCACUUUAAAUUGAGAUAGGAAUGAUUAAGAAGAUUCCUAAGCACCAAAUGGUUAAAAGCCAAAUGUAAUGUUUCUAUCAUGCUAGGAUUAUGUGAUAAUCCUUGUGUAUAAGCAUAGCAUUGUCCCAUAGAGCAUUGUCCCUUCUUCUUUUAUUAUUAUUAUUAUUAUUAUUAUUAUUAUUAUUAUUAUUAUUAUUAUUAUUAUUAUUAUUAUUAUUGUGUUGUAAGUACAUUCUAAUUUAUCAUAUUCGAUUGUUCCAUGUGGAAUCACUUAUUUGCUAGCACUAGCAAUUGAAAAAUGAAUUUCUACAAUUGUUUAGAUUAACGUGUUUCAUGAAGAGAAUUUGAUUUAGUGACAUUCUUAAUAGACUUAAAUGUGGGAAGUAAAAUUCCAGCUAGUUAGCUCGAAUCUACAACAACUUAUUUGAUAUUUAACCGGUAUUCUAAAAAGUUUCUUUAGUGGAACUUUUUAAGUUGUAUUGUAACAUGAUUAUCAACUAUGUAGAAGUUGCAAAUUUAAGAGAAUUGAGCAAUAUAAGAGAUGUAGGCAAAACUUAAACUUCUAUGGUGAAUUUUUUGGGAGUAAAAAUAUAUUGGGAUGACAAUUGGUGUUUAUGAUAGCAGGGACUUUAUGAUUUAUUGAGAGUUUUAGUCGAUAUUGACUCUCUUUAAUAUCUUGAUAAUAUAAUAAUAAUUAUUGUUAUUAUAGGUACAGAAGUUGGUUCACAGAAUUUAUACAGGAGAGUUAUGUCGUUUGUGGCAAUUUUUGGUGAAAGAUGACCAAAAAAAAAAAAAAAAAAAAGAAUUAACAACACAAAAAAAUUCUGUGAAGGCAACCCUGUACGAUUAGAAUUGUUCUUUGGCAAAUGAAGAUUGCAUGUAUUAUGACCUGUCAAAAUCCUGCACUUGACAGAUUUUUUUGGCAUAAUUAUUAUAAUAAUGUGUUGCAAAUUAUCAUUUUCUGACAAUUACCUGAUUUUGAAGAAGCCAAACAAGGGCUAAUUCGUAUAAUAAUGACAGUGCUAAUAAUAAUUGUGGUUAGAGAUUAUUCCCAAAAAAAAAAAAAAAAAAAAAAACAAAAAUGUUAUUAGAGACCCUUCAAAUAUUUGUAACUACACAUUUUGUACUGAUCCAUGGCUUAUAAGCCAUCGACUUAUUUACCAAACAUUAAACUCUGCUUGGUCUUUUAGUUUUUAAGCACAAUCUUUACCCUUACCGAACAUUGAAAAAUGUAAGGUAAAAACUAAAAUAGUGGAGUAAAAUUUUGUGAUGAAAAAAGUUCCUUUAGAAAAUUUGAAAUAUAUCAAUUGGUUAAGUAACAAAAAUAUGAUCAAGUUGGUUGAAUCCCACUCUUAUUUAUUGCUCUAUGGUUUUCCUUUGAAUGUCUAAUCCUAUAUAGUUAAAGUUACAUUAAAAAUCAAAUGAAUGCAAUAUUUUAAAUUAUCUGUUCCAUUAGUCUUCAUUAGUAGUUGGAUUCCUAAAAAUAACAUUUUAAUCACCAUUAACAUGAGAGAAUUAGAAGUUUCUUCAUGUUGCCUAUCAAAGAUAAAGGUAUUUAAUUAUUUAAAAAUAUGUUUUCUUACGCGCAAAUCAUAUUCGUUUCUUCAUGAACUUCGCCAGCACUAUCAUAAUUGAAUCUAAUUCAUCGGUCCAACUAGAAAAACCAAGAACAAUAUUGAUUAUAGGCCAAAAAUUAAAAAUUUUGAACCAUAAUCUAUAAUACCUUAAGAUUUUAGACGGGAUGGUUACAUUACCCAAGCCAAACGAAACAUUUGAAUUCAAGUUUUAAUUGUCUUGUCAUCACUUAUUUAUAAAACCUCCAUAUUUUAGACCUCAGAAUAUUGUUUGUAUGUGAUAAGGCGUGUAAAAGACAAGAUUUAACGUCUCUUUAACAUUUUUAAUAUGAGGGAAGGAAAUCGAAAAAGUAACAGAGAAUCAAUAAUUGAUUUAAAAGAAGAUUUAUAAUAUUAAUUCUUAUAAGCAUGAUAGUGCUUACAAUAAUUGUUGUUCUUAGUGCUAACGUUUCUGUCUAUUUAUAAAUUAAAUCAUUCAUAAACUCUUCCUGAGGCGAUUAUCUAUUGAAACCUACUCCCGAGGUGAUUAUCUAUUGGAACCCACUCCAAAUUAUUUAUUCACAUAUAGUUAAAGUGUCAUUAACCAUCAAGUCAAUGGAAAUUUACUGCAAAAUUCAGUGUUAUUACUCGAUUCGUCUUAAUUUUUUAAAUCAUCUUUUCGAUUAGUAGUUGAAUCCCCAAUAGUAAUCAUUCUUAGCACGUGAGAAUUAGAAGGUCCUAAUGUAGAACAAAGAUAUUAGUACAAUGAAAAACUAACCCUGCCUAAGGGUAAAUCAUUUUCAUUACUUCGUAGGCUCGACCAAUGUUAUCAAAAUUGGAUUAGACUUACAAGUUCAUCUUAAAAGAUAGCAAACUCGACCAAUUACAACUUCAGAACUUUCGACAGGUGAGCUUUUUAAUUUACAACUUGAACCAAUCGACUCUGAAUCCACUUAUUAAAAAAAUAGUCAUCACAUUAAUGAUGAAUUCAUUUGUCAUUAUCUUUAAACAACUUAAAGAGUAAUUUGUAACAUAUAUCUACUGUACUUUACUAUUUAAUCAAUUCAUUAGUGGGAUUCGAUUUUGAUUAGUGUGUCAAAUCAACAGCAGUUAGAUAAUUGGUAAAUGGAUUAAGAUAAGAUAAUGAAUUAAAUAUUUUAUUUUUCUCAGAGUGGGCGUAUCAUUAGGGGAUGGAUUGAAUAGAUGUCCUUGGCGUGUACGUUCGAUUCGCUCUAGUUGAUGCUGACGAUGUACCGUGGUAGCCACUGCAAGGAAAAAAAAAGUACUAAAGAAGUUAAAGUUUGGAGUUUUGCUCAAUUGCGAGAAAAUGCUUGUCCAAAGGGAUGACCACUUCUCACAAUUACUGUAGGUCCCGUAUGAAUUAAAAAAUGUCGACCUCUUCUUCAUUCGUGUGUUCUAUCAAACCGCAUGUCAAGUUUCCUGUUGCUGUAACUUGAUCCUAAAAUUUUAUUUAUUAUUCUGUAUUUAAUAUUGUGCGCGCGCGCACAUAUAUAUACACGUACUAUAAAAAAAUGUUGCAAUUUGAGUCGAGGGUAAAAGAUGACAAAUGUGUUAUGUGUUGAACAACAUCGUUUGAAAAUUUAAAUUUUUGAAAAAGGGACAAGCUUUUUUCACGAAGUGCUUGAAAACAAGAUUCAAAUGAAUAUACGUGACAAAUGCCAAGGAAAACACUCGAAUCUAUUUAUAAAAGUUGUUCACUUCUUAGACCCUCUCAUCUAAAAAAAGUGUAAAAAAAUAAUAUUGAAAUAAAGGCGUGUAUUAUUAUAUAUUGCAAAUAAACUGUUCUAAAAAGGGAAAUUAAAAUCCAGAGUAUGUUUGAAGUCUAAUUUGUCUUACACAAAUAAUUGAAUAAAGAAGACAGAAAAGAAAAGAUGAAAAGGAAAAAAGAGAUGCCUCCACUUUCAAAUACCAUCAGAAAUUGAAAAUAAAGCAUAACAAUUAAUUAUCAAAGCAAGAAGCUAUAAGAAAAGGAAGUAAAAAGUUUCUCUCAACAAUAAAAGAGUCGUGAUAAUUGGGACUAAAACUAAUAAUUGAGAGAAAAACAUAUAUACCAAAUUAAAUUUUUAUUUAUAUCGGAUCCAUGAAUUCCAGUGAGAUAAUGUGAGUUUAGGCUAGCACGUGAAGCCAGCAUGGUGGCCGCCCGUCAUGGUUUGUUGAGUGUUGGCUCCACCCUUGAAUAAAGACAUGUCUAAAGAAGAGGUUAGCACCCUCUAAAGCAAUGUCAUUCGUGAUGUAUCAUAUUAUUAGAUUAUUCAAUCACAUUCUAAUUGCGUCAAUUUAAUAAAAUUUACAUAAAUUUUAAUUUUAUAUUAUUUCACAUGAAAUUUAUGUGAUAUACGUCAUAGUAUUUUAGUUGUCUUAAACUACUUCUCAUUUUAUUACAUUCUGAUUUUGUCAAUUUCCUGAAUGAGAAGUUGUGAGACAAAAUGAAUUUACUAGAAGUUUAACUUUAUUCUAUUUUCGAUAAAAAGAAAAGACCAAGAAGACAAAAAAUAAAAAAUAAAAAUCACAAAAGGCGAAUAAGCUAAAAAAAGAGCAAAAAGAAAGGCUAAAAAGACACUUAAAAGGAAAAGAAAGAAGUGUUAUGUAGGGAAACGUAUGCAUAUAUAAAUAUAUUAUACAUCAGCUUUGAAGCGAAGAACAAAUUGUCUAAGCAUUUGUUUAAGUAAAAAAGUAAACAGAAGUCUUAAGAGAAGUAUCAUUACGAGUUAAACGAUCUUCUCCUUCGUGGCAAAAAUGUACAAUGGCUAAAACAUAUGAAGUUGGGCGUGCACACGUUAGAUUUUAAUAAAAGCCAAUGAAACCACAUCUUUAAUACCUUGAAUUUAAAAUAAAGUAUGAUAAAAUUGGGCACGGUUUGAGAUAGUCUAUGCUCCAUGUUGGGUUUUGCAAGAUAAAUGAACAAUAUUAGACUUAAUUCUUGAGGCUUGCAGUAUGUACGUGUAGAGUCACAUGCAGAGUAAAGAAUCUGAAACACGUGUUUUACAUCUCUUGCAUAAAAUUCAACCGUUGAAACAUCAAAUUACAUGUUUCAAUUUUUUAAAAAUUAAAUUAAUAUUCCCAGAUUAAAUUUACUACUUAGAAUAUCUCCAAAAAACUCUCUCUUUAUAAAGAACUUCUUUAAAUUUAGAGAAUAAUUUUUUUAAUACACUCCAACAAGCUUUCUAUUUUGAUUCUUUAUUUUACUCCAUUCGUCCCAUUUAUAUAGACUUAGUUUCCUCUUUUUUUUUUUUUUUUUGUCCCAAAUAUAUAGUCCAGUUUCUUAAUUUAGAAUAUUUUGUUUUAAUCCUUUACUGUUAUAUCCUUAUUUAAUUUGCUUAGUUACAGUCAAUUUUUCCAACUUAGCCUUUGUUUGAGCCCCAUUUUUCAAUCAAAAUACAUUUUUCAACAGUAAUUUGAUAUCAUUUCAACCACGCAUUCUUUAAUAAAAUAAUAUUAUACGCAAAUAAAAAAAUUUUCCUUAUUUUUUAACUACACAUUUUCCAUCAAUACAUUAUUCAAAAAUUCAUUUUCUUCACAAAAAUGGGACUCAAACAAGGGCUUAAUUUGCCUACUUCUUGAAAUCUUUCAAAUACAUGCACAUUUCCCAAUAAUUUGCCAAUUGCUUGAAAUCAAUUUUCAAAUUCUUUAUAGAUUCCAACAAUAAUUUACUACUAUUUGUUGAAAAUUAAAUAGGGGCAAACUAAGAUUUUUUUUUUUUUUAAACAAAAAUUACUUUUUCAAUAACAUAAAAUAAGAUUUCUUAAUCUUUGUAAAAAACAAAACAAGCAUAUAUACGUGAAACGGAGGGAGAAUUUUUUUCAAUGAACAUUUAAUAAUUUCUCCACAUAUUUUAUUUAAAUAUAAUUUUCUUUUAUAUAUUAAUGACCAGUAAAUUCAAAUGUAAUUUGAAAAAUUUUAAUUGUAAAGUAUUGAAAUUUGUAAUAUAUUAAAUACAAUCAUUGUACAUUAAGAAUAGAGAGUGAAUUUGACUCUUUAAAUUUGAAAAAUCAAGUACAUUCUCUACUUUAAAAAGUUAAAAUAGAUUCUCUUGGAACUUAUUUUAAGUAUUGACUCUCUAAAGUAGAGAGUAUUUUGUAUUUAAAAUAUUUUUUAGAGAUAUUCUUACAAAUCAAUUCCAUUUGAAUAAUAUUACAGAUUACAACAACAGUCUAAAUGAUUCUAGAUAUUGACUGAAUAAAAUGUUUAAUUUUACCUAUUAUUUAAUGUCACGCUAACGAUACCUAAAUUGAAAUUAUAAUUUCAGUAAAAUUAAAUAACAUUAUUCCACCACAUUAGUUACGGCAAUAUGCCAAUUCCAAUGUCUCACGGACUCGGAUGCAUGUCGAGUGCUUUCUACUGUACAUUUUAGAUAUGAACAAAGACGUAGGCCCCACUUUUCAUGCGAAAUAAUUCUCCGAAAAAAAAAAUAAAAAAUCCACCUGUUCCCACUUCCCUAUAAAUAACACCUCAACCAAUCUCUCCUUCCUCAAUCCACCACCCCUUCUCCAUCGUCUGCUCCCCAUAACAGCAUAACUAGUUCUUUAAUAAGUUAUCGUAAAAAAGAAAUUCUUUAUAGCCAUAAGACUUAAAAAUGGGUACUGUGGAGGCUCCAACAGCAUCAUAUUCAUCACUUGCACAGCGCUCACCGUGGCAUUCUCCGGUGCCGUACCUCUUCGGAGGAUUGGCAGCCAUGUUAGGGCUCAUUGCUUUUGCUCUCUUGAUCCUGGCCUGCUCAUAUUGGAAACUUUCCGGCUACCUCGAGAACCAGGGAGAAACCGAGAGGGAUCUUGAGGCAGGGGAGGUCAAUGGCAGCGGCGAUGGCUCAGCUGAUGGCAGCCUAAAGGCUGCACCACCAAUUCUUGAAGAGAAGUAUCUAGUGAUCAUGGCCGGCCAAGAAAAGCCAACUUUCUUGGCCACUCCUAUGUCCAGUAAAGCAUCAUCUUUUGGCAAUAAAAGUACAAGCACUACUAGUAGUAAAUCUACAGAGGAAGAUAAUGAAGAGAAGAAGCAGCAGAAAAACGGUGGAAAUGUAGAAAUGGGGAACAUGGAGAGCCUUGAAGCAGUAGAUCAGGUCCAUUGAAAUCAUUUUAUUUUAUUUUUAUUUUUGCAGAGACCUUUGCUGUCUCGGCUGCGCUACAAAGAAGUCGAGCACUCGUCUUUGAGCAACUUAUUGCUUAGAUACUUUCAAAAGUAUCCUGUCAACAUUUUGUGGGUUAUUUAUUUUAUUAAGAUUUGAGUAGGAAUUUUGAAAUUGUAAAUAAUUCUUGGAGAAAUUAAGAGUGUUUGGAGAAAAUUCCCAUUCUUUGUUCAUCAAUUGUUGCUCUGCCUUCUGGUGUUCUUCACUUUUGACCCAAUUAUGUGUACACAUCAAGAGGGAAUUUUCAUCCCUAAUAAUUUAUGCACAGAAUGAGUGCACAACAUUAGAAAAAACAAAACAUUAAAGAAAAAAAAUAGAUGAGUGAAAAAGGUUGUUCCUUCCGUAUUGAAUUUUUUGCAUUAACGAUAAAGUUAUUGGUGAUUUACAACAGAAAAAUAAAUUACCCCUUCUGGUUUAACAAUUUAAGAAAUGUUUGAUUAGAUGACAGACCCUACAAAAUUAUCCCUUUACCCCCAUCGAACGCACACUUUAAUCAUUCGACUAUGAAUGCAAAGAAACUCAAUUAAUGCAAAAAAAAUUAUAUGUCGAAAGAGUUUAAGUUUUUAGAUAAAAUAAUUCAUCACAGUAUCAAAACAUAAGUUGUAAAAGUCUUGCCAUUAUUACUCAUUUAUAAAAAUUGCCCGAGCAUCAAAUUUUUAUUAAAAUAAAUAAAUCCAAAUGUGUUCCAGAUGAGAUAAAAUAAACAAGGCAGUUGAAAAACGAAAAUAUAUGUUGGUUUAAUUAGGGAAGACAAAGGUUGUAACAUCAUAAAGUGAUAGCCAGUGUGGUACACGACAGCAUGCAUUGUCUUGUUGAACGGGUGCAUUAUUAUGGGUUUUGCACGUUAAAUUAUUGUGCUAAGGUUAUAUGCAACUAGUAAUAUGGUGGAGUUAUUAUUUUUGAAUUGACUAAAGUUCAUAAUUUCAAUUAUAUGAUAUUACUAGGAAUAUUUUACAAUUUUGAUAAUGAUUUGCUGACUUCUUAGAGUAUCUACUUUAAUUAAGGAUAUUCCAUAGUUAAUUCUUUGUGCAUAAUUAUGAUUAAUGAUGUAAAAUGAUCCGUGUUGAACUGAUAGGUCUUCUCGUCCACCCAUAUUUAAGUUUUUGUUGGGCUUGAUGCUAUUCAAGUGUAAAUAAGACGUGUCAAGUUUGGUCCACUAAAUAUAAAAUUUCACGAUCUGCAUAAAUCACAAGCUCAAAAUGUUUUUGGCCAUCUUAGUGGCUAUGUGGGUUGGAGGUAUAGGUCGUCCCAAACGUCCCUAUAUACAACGUGUUGCUUGAGUAUUUUAAACCUCUCACUAUUUGUAAUUGAUCAUUAAUUUAGUGACAAAUUGAGAACUAUCAAUUUCCUUAUUAUCUGAUGGGAAUAAAACAUUAGUUAGAUCCAAUUUGCAGUAUCCAAUGUGCACUUCUACCUUCAUGUGAGUGAUUGUUAAUUUCUUUUUCUCUACUUUACUUAUUUUUGGAUUGUCAAUUUUAGGUAACUGUAGAGUGAGACAUCUCAUUUACAUGGAGCCUAAAUGAUUUAAAUUUGUGGUCUUAUUUCGUUAAAAAAGAGUGAAGUCUUCAUCACCUUUUGUUAGAAAAUUUGCUUAAAAUAUGAAUAACUCGAAGCAUGUCAAGAUUGAUGGACAUUUACAGCAACAUCCAUUAGAGUCGUUAUCCAACAUUCUCUCAAUAAUGCUAACUUGACAAGAACAACUGAAUUUGCCCAAUAUUGAUUAAAUUAAAACAAUCAUGGUCCCUGAUUUUGAAUGUUGAAUUGGCAAAAUUUUAGGGUUUGCAUUUUAAUUCUUCAAGAUCCAUCUUUUGAAUACAAUUUCUUUGGGCCUUUUGUUAUUUGUGUUUUACUUCUGGAUUUCCAAUUCUAUAUUGGUUUUUCUUCGAAAAUGGAUUUAGUUGCCAUUCUACUUGCUGAGAUAAUUUCUUUUACCCUGAGACAGUAUCAAUUUUAGUUAUGCUGUCUAAAUUUAGUUCUAGUUCCAAAAAAGAUAAUUAACUGUGGGUACUUAUUUUCUUGCAACCUCAGUCUUUACUGGUAUUUUGCUGGUGCUCCUUGGACUCUUUUCAUACCAUGAGUAAACUAUAAAUAAACAUAUCAAAUGCAUGAAAAACCAGUGAAGUUGCUACUUAACUCUUUCAUGCGACUUCAUAUCCAGCCGGUAUAGUAACAUACAUGCAUAAACUUCCCUCAUCCCCAUUAGCUCAACAUUUUUACCUCAAGUAACAUGGAAGAAAAUGAAAUUUUGACAUGUAGCCGUACAUCUUCUUAUCUCAAAUUUAAUUUAUUUGAAAUUUGGUGAUUUUGUUUGAUGGUUAACUCGUUACAAUUGCUUCUAUAGAUUAUCAACAAAGAAUUGUAUGAGAUUAUAAGCUGACGACGCUUUCUCCUUUUAUUUCUAGAGAGGAUUUGUUGAGGCCCAUGCCGAUGAUGGUUUCUUAGAAAUUUUUGGUCUGAAACAAGGGUGGCAUGCUUCAAUGGUUAUGAGUGAGAUUAUCUCUGCCAAACACAUAGCACAGGUAUUCUAGUUACAAGAGGAAGUAACUUGUACUACAUGACUUUUGCUUUCAAUAAGCAGAAAAUUUAUUGUACUGCAAUUUUCCAGGCUUUGGCAAUUAGGUUUGAGCUGAGAGGAGGGUCAUGGAAGAAGGCAUAUAUGCAGAUGGAUGGUGAACCGUGGAAACAACCGUUGGACAAUGAGUUUUCGACCUUCGUUGAAAUUAAACGGGUACCAUUUCGAUCAGUUAUGGUCAAUGGACAGUAAUUACAACAGCAUUUUGUAGCAUCUUUAUCAAUUUGUGGAAAUUGGAUCAUUGUUGAACAAUCCUUUUCUUUAAUAUUGUAUGUGUAAUACCUUGUUUAGGAGGAAUUUUUAGUCAACUCCCAACUGUGGAGCUAAAUUUAUGGAGUCUUGAAGAAAGCAUUGUAAGCAACAAGCAUGUAAGAAAAAACAAGAAUUGAAUGUCU